UGGGGGAUGGUGUAAUGGUAGCACGACAGGCUCUGGACCUGUCUGUCUAGGUUCGAAUCCUAGUCCCCCAGCCA
rnacentral:tRNA from 1 species